ensembl:lncRNA
CGCUGCAGCAACCAUGGUAGUGCGUUGACCACGUCGGUGGGCACAACUCAGGCACAUGCAAAUUUAAUUACCACGUCGGUGGCAUAAUAUCAAAAGCUCAAGUGCAGGGCACUCGGAGUUCAUUGACCACGUCGGUGUUCAACACGGAAGUUCACAAUAUUUGCUGCAGCAACACCGGUGAGUGCGUGACCACGUCGGUGGCACAGCAAGGGCACUCGUGAUUUCGUUGACCACGUCGGUGUUCAACACGGAAGUACACAAUAUUUGCUGCAGCAACACCGGUGAGUGCGUGACCACGUCGGUGGCACAUCAAGGGCACUCGUGAGUUCGGGGACCACAUCGGGGUUCAACACGAAAGCACUCAGGUCACGCAGCGACCCCGGAGAGUGAAUCGACCACGGCAGUUGGUACAGCACGAAAGCACUCGUGGCUCCCUGCGUAACAGCUGCAGAGUGCUCUAGAUUUCAAUUGAUCUCGCUGAUGAAGCAGUAUAGAUCCUUGUCCACUUCUUCUACGGCGGGUCUUCGUUCGACGCACCUCCAUCCACCCCACCACCACCAGGUCGGCCUCAGUCUACUUGUCCAGGGGAAGGCUCCGCCCCUGCUAGUCCUGGCAGGAUACGCCGAGUCCGCACGUCACCCUGGAUCAGUGAUGGGGCUCAUGCCAAAGAUUUACCAUGCAAAAUAUUCCCAUGUCGUUAUUUAAAU